CCUACGGGCGGCAGCAGUGAGGAAUAUUGGUCAAUGGGCGCGAGCCUGAACCAGCCAAGUAGCGUGAAGGAUGACUGCCCUAUGGGUUGUAAACUUCUUUUAUAAAGGAAUAAAGUGAGGUACGUGUGCCUUUUUGUAUGUAUUUUAUGAAUAAGGAUCGGCUAACUCCGUGCCAGCAGCCGCGGUAAUACGGAGGAUCCGAGCGUUAUCCGGAUUUAUUGGGUUUAAAGGGAGCGUAGAUGGGUUGAUAAGUCAGUGGUGAAAGUUUGAGGCUCAACCGUAAAAUUGCAUUUGAUACUGGCAGCCUUGAGUACAGUUGAGGUAGGCGGAAUUCGUGGUGUAGCGGUGAAAUGCUUAGAUAUCACGAAGAACUCCGAUUGCGAAGGCAGCCUACUAAGCUGCCACUGACAUUGAUGCUCGAAAGUGUGGGUAUCAAACAGGAUUAGAUACCCUAGUAGUC
rnacentral:rRNA from 1 species